rnacentral:rRNA from 1 species
GGUAAAGGAUGGGGAUGCGUUCCAUUAGGUUGUUGGUGAGGUAACGGCUCACCAAGCCUUCGAUGGAUAGGGGUUCUGAGAGGAAGGUCCCCCACAUUGGAACUGAGACACGGUCCAAACUCCUACGGGAGGCAGCAGUGAGGAAUAUUGGUCAAUGGGCGCUAGCCUGAACCAGCCAAGUAGCGUGAAGGAUGAAGGCUCUAUGGGUCGUAAACUUCUUUUAUAUAAGAAUAAAGUGCAGUAUGUAUACUGUUUUGUAUGUAUUAUAUGAAUAAGGAUCGGCUAACUCCGUGCCAGCAGCCGCGGUAAUACGGAGGAUCCGAGCGUUAUCCGGAUUUAUUGGGUUUAAAGGGAGCGUAGGUGGACUGGUAAGUCAGUUGUGAAAGUUUGCGGCUCAACCGUAAAAUUGCAGUUGAUACUGUCAGUCUUGAGUACAGUAGAGGUGGGCGGAAUUCGUGGUGUAGCGGUGAAAUGCUUAGAUAUCACGAAGAACUCCGAUUGCGAAGGCAGCUCACUGGACUGCAACUGACACUGAUGCUCGAAAGUGUGGGUAUCAAACAGGAUUAGAUACCCUGGUAGUCCACACAGUAAACGAUGAAUACUCGCUGUUUGCGAUAUACAGUAAGCGGCCAAGCGAAAGCAUUAAGUAUUCCACCUGGGGAGUACGCCGGCAACGGUGAAACUCAAAGGAAUUGACGGGGGCCCGCACAAGCGGAGGAACAUGUGGUUUAAUUCGAUGAUACGCGAGGAACCUUACCCGGGCUUAAAUUGCAGUGGAAUGAUGUGGAAACAUGUCAGUGAGCAAUCACCGCUGUGAAGGUGCUGCAUGGUUGUCGUCAGCUCGUGCCGUGAGGUGUCGGCUUAAGUGCCAUAACGAGCGCAACCCUUAUCUUCAGUUACUAACAGGUUAUGCUGAGGACUCUGGAGAGACUGCCGUCGUAAGAUGUGAGGAAGGUGGGGAUGACGUCAAAUCAGCACGGCCCUUACGUCCGGGGCUACACACGUGUUACAAUGGGGGGUACAGAAGGCAGCUAGCGGGUGACCGUAUGCUAAUCCCAAAAGCCUCUCUCAGUUCGGAUCGAAGUCUGCAACCCGACUUCGUGAAGCUGGAUUCGCUAGUAAUCGCGCAUCAGCCACGGCGCGGUGAAUACGUUCCCGGGCCUUGUACACACCGCCCGUCAAGCCAUGGGAGCCGGGGGUACCUGAAGUACGUAACCGCAAGGAUCGUCCUAGGGUAAAACUGGUGACUGGGGCUAAGUCGUAACAAGGUAGCCGUACCGGAAGGUGCGGCUGGAACACCU